GCUUAGUAACGGCGAGCGAACCGCGCAAAGCCCAACUUGAAAAUCUCCCUUGGAGAAUUGUAGUCUAUAGAAGUACCCUCUGCAACGGGCGGAGCUCAAGUCUCCUGGAAAGGAGCGUCAGAGAGGGUGAGAACCCCGUAAGCUCUUGCUUUGUUGCCUCACGAGGUGCUUUCGAAGAGUCGGGUUGCUUGGGAAUGCAGCCCAAAUUUGGUGGUAAAUCCCAUCUAAGGCUAAAUAUUGGCGAGAGACCGAUAGCGAACAAGUACCGUGAGGGAAAGAUGAAAAGAACUUUGAAAAGAGAGUUAAAAAGUGCUUGAAAUUGUUGAGGGGGAAGCGUUUGAAUGCUAGAGUGCGCCUAGGCUUAUGGGUUCUUAACGGAGCUCUGUAUGUGCUAGGUGCUGGCCAGCAUGGGUUGGGCGAGUGGGAUAACAGCUGGGGUUGUUACCCGGUCUAUGCCACUUGCUUGACCAAGGCGUGAAGGCUGCUCUUGUCCCUCGGGAACUGCAGUCUCAAGAUGCUGGCAAAAGGCUUUCAACCGACCCGUCUUGAAACACGGACCAAGGAGUCUAACAUGUAUGCGAGUUGGUGGGUGGAAAACCCAUGAAGCGUAAGGAAACUGACUGGUGGGAUGGCCUGUGCCUGCACCAUCGACCGACCAUGCGUUUCUGCAAAAGGUUUGAGUGCGAGCAUACCUGUUGGGACCCGAAAGAUGGUGAACUAUGCCUGAGCAGGGUGAAGCCAGGUGAAAACCUGGUGGAGGCUCGUAGAUGUGCUGACGUGCAAAUCGC
rnacentral:rRNA from 1 species